rnacentral:rRNA from 1 species
GACGAACGCUGGCGGCGUGCUUAACACAUGCAAGUCGAACGGAAAGGCCUCUUUCGGGGGGUACUCGAGUGGCGAACGGGUGAGUAACACGUGAGUAACCUGCCCUUGACUUUGGGAUAACUUCAGGAAACUGGGGCUAAUACCGGAUAGGAGCUCCUGCUGCAUGGUGGGGGUUGGAAAGUUUCGGCGGUUGGGGAUGGACUCGCGGCUUAUCAGCUUGUUGGUGGGGUAGUGGCUUACCAAGGCUUUGACGGGUAGCCGGCCUGAGAGGGUGACCGGCCACAUUGGGACCGAGAUACGACCCAGACUCCUACGGGAGGCAGCAGUGGGGAAUAUUGCACAAUGGGUGGAAGCCUGAUGCAGCAACGCCGUGUGCGGGAUGACGGCCUUCGGGUUGUAAACCGCUUUCGCUCAUGACGAAGCUUUGUGUGACGGUAGUGGGUAAAGAAGCACCGGCUAACUACGUG